rnacentral:piRNA from 1 species
ACCAAAACAGGAGGUGCCUCUUUUCU